rnacentral:snRNA from 1 species
AUACUUACCUGGUGAAGGGUCCUCGUUCAUCCUCGUUCAUGGCGAGGCGCGAGCAUUGCACUGCGCUCGCGUUGACCCCUGCCACUACCCCAAACUGGAGCAGAUGGGGCAUGCAAAUUGCUUAAAUCCGGUUCAACUCGAGAGAGGGCGCCUGC